GUAACGGAGGAGCACGAAGGUGGGCUAAUCACGGUUGGACAUCGUGAGGUUAGUGCAAUGGCAUAAGCCCGCUUGACUGCGAGAAUGACAAUUCGAGCAGGUGCGAAAGCAGGUCAUAGUGAUCCGGUGGUUCUGAAUGGAAGGGCCAUCGCUCAACGGAUAAAAGGUACUCCGGGGAUAACAGGCUGAUACCGCCCAAGAGUUCAUAUCGACGGCGGUGUUUGGCACCUCGAUGUCGGCUCAUCACAUCCUGGGGCUGAAGUCGGUCCCAAGGGUAUGGCUGUUCGCCAUUUAAAGUGGUACGCGAGCUGGGUUUAGAACGUCGUGAGACAGUUCGGUCCCUAUCUGCCGUGGGCGUUGGAAGAUUGAAGGGGGCUGCUCCUAGUACGAGAGGACCGGAGUGGACGAACCUCUGGUGUUCGGGUUGUGUCGCCAGACGCAUUGCCCGGUAGCUAAGUUCGGAAUCGAUAACCGCUGAAAGCAUCUAAGCGGGAAGCGAGCCCUGAGAUGAGUCUUCCCUGAUACUUUAAGUAUCCUAAAGGGUUGUCGGAGACUACGACGUUGAUAGGUCAGGUGUGUAAGUGCUGUGAGGCAUUGAGCUAACUGAUACUAAUUGCCCGUGAGGCUUAACCAUACAACACCCAAGGGGUUU
rnacentral:rRNA from 1 species